CAGGGUUUGAAGAGUGCGUUCCUUCCCCUCUACUUGGGUAUCAAAGCUACUUUUGCGAGGGGUUCCCUUCACCAUCUCAACAAUACGACCACUACUACCAAGAUGUAACUAUGUGUUCUUCUUCCUUCCUCAGAGCCUGUUUGGAUUUUUUUUGUUGCUGCUGCGUGUUGGAGAAGUGCUGCUGCUUCUAAGGUGUUUGGCGCAUUUGAUCUAGUGUAUGUGUUCUGUAAUUUGAUAUUGGUAUCAGACUUGGAGUGUGGUCUCGUUAAUUUAAUGAAAUAUUAAAUAACUAUAAUCCAUAGUAUAUAGGAUUUAGAAUCUUGUAGUGUGGUCUUUUUGCAAUGAAAACUCAUGCAGCAUGUUACAUCGUAUUAUAAAUAAA